UCUUGGUUUAGUUAGGAGGCGCAUAGCGAUGGGCAUGUGAUGCUCACUCAGGCCUUUUGAGGGGGCGCCUUUAACUAGAGGAGCCCCCCAAGCAGCCCUAGACAUUC